rnacentral:lncRNA from 10 species
ACCCGCCUGGCCCAACAGUGACAGAGCAGGGCGCGCAGCCGCUGAGUGCUCUGGAGUCCCUGCCCCGAGGUGCCACGCCCACGUCGGCCUCACCCGGGCAGGCAUGGGGCGGUCGGGCUUAGCGCCGCACCCCGCCGGCCAGAGCCACCGUCUCUCCAGACGCGGCCCCAGCGCCCACUGGGGAUGGCAAAGACGACAUCCGGUGCGCCGAGGCUGCUCACAAAAAUAUUAUCUGAAGCUUUAAAGCCUCCUGGAGUGAAAGCUAGUUCAUAACCACGCUGUUUGGAGCGAAGAAAACUACCUGGAAUUCUUGUUCUCCAAAGAUAUGGAAUUAUCCCAGCAACAGCCGUCCUUCACUGCUCUGUCCUGAGGACCCUCAGGUGUGGCCCAUCCAGCCCCUCAGUGUUUACCUCUGUCCUAAGGACUCUCAGGUGUGGGCGAUCCAGCCCCUUAGUGUUUCCCUCUGUUUUGGAGAUCCUCAGUCUUCCCACACAGGUUGAGAGAGGAGGGGAUCCAAUUGCCUGUGAGGAGGACACGGCUCCUGGGUGGACCCUGCAGAUUGUGAAGUUCAAGUCACAGCUCCUGGGAAGGUCUCUGUGUGUAAAGAUCGUGGGGGUGAGACAGAUUCAGGGACCACACUCUGCUCUGCUCUGUACCUCUGAGUGUCGAUCCAGCUGCCUUGUGACCAGGACACUUAGAAGAAGCAUGGACCCUGCAAGAGGAUGGGCUCAAGGACAGCUUGCCUGACUGCAGCCAUAAGGAUGAAGCCUCUUCAGGUAGAGAAGGACUCCAGGUCAUUUGGCCAAUUUAAUGCCGACAGAAGAGGCCACCAUCUGAAUGUAAUUUAUCUCCUCUUUCAUCUCCUUUCAUUCCCCUCCUCCUUUUUUUUUUUUUUUUGGGACAGAGUCUCACUCUGUUGCCCAGGCUGGAGUGCAGUGGCGUGAUCUUGGCUCACUGCAAGCUCUGCCUCCCAGGUUCACGCCAUUCUCCUGCCUCAGCCUCCUGAGUAGCUGGGACUACAGGCACCCGCCACCACGCCCAGCUAAUUUUUUGUGUUUUUAGUAGAGACGAGGUUUAGCGUGUCUAUGUGACACCCCAGGAUUUUAGCAGAUACACAAGUGAAAAACCAUGUUGCUAAAAAGUAUUUCCCAUCUUCCAAUUUUCUUAUCAUCAUCUUGGAAAUAAAAUCUGUACGUACUUGGGAAUAAAAUUUAUUGAAUUAUCAAAAAUAUGUAUGCUAAUGUAUGUGAGUCAUUAGCUAUAUCCACAUUGACAUAAAAUUUGUGAAGACUCUUCAAAAUCUCUUAAAGAUUUAUUUGGCUGGGCGCGGUGGCUCACGCCUGUAAUCCCAGCAGUUUGGGAGGCUGAGGCAGGCGGAUCAUGAGGUCAGGAGAUGGAGACCAUCCUGGCUAACACGGUGAAACCCCGUCUCUACUAAAAAUACAAAAAACUAGCUGGGCGUGGUGGCGCGCGCCUGUAGUCCCAGCUACUCGGGAGGCUGAGGCAGGAGAAUGGCGUGAACCCGGGAGGCGGAGCUCGGA